GAUGAACGCUGGCGGCGUGCUUAACACAUGCAAGUCGAACGGAAAGGCCCCUUUGGGGGUACUCGAGUGGCGAACGGGUGAGUAACACGUGAGUAACCUGCCCUUGACUUCGGGAUAACUUCAGGAACCUGGGGCAAAUACCGGAAAGGAAUCCUUGCUGCACGGUGGGGGUUGGAGAGCUUCGGGGGUUUUGGCUGGACUCGCGGCCUAUCGGCUUGUUGGUGGGGUAGUGGGUUACCGAGGCAAUGACGGGUAGCCGGACUGAGAGGGCGACCGGCCACAUUGGGACUGAGAGGCGGCCCAGGCUCCUACGGGAGGCAGCAGGGGGGAAUAUUGCACAAUGGGCGGAGGCCUGAUGCAGCAACGCCGCGUGCGGGAUGGCGGCCUUCGGGUUGUAGACCGCUUUCAGCAGGGGCGAAGCUUGUGGUGACGGUACCUGCAGAAGAAGCACCGGCUAACUACGUG
rnacentral:rRNA from 1 species